rnacentral:lncRNA from 1 species
UGUAAACGUGAGGAGGUAUAUCAUGUUUCUUUAUUUGUUUUUUUUUACUUUGACAGUUGAUUUGUUCUACCAACUGACUGAAAGAGGAUGAAGCAUGAAGAAACGAUUUUCCACCAGGAGCAAAGCUGGAGGAACAUUUACUCUGAGCGAGGCUGGAACAGUGACGCUUUAAAGAAAAUUGCUGAAGGUGCUUUAGACCCAAAGUCAAAUAGUCUUGGAAGACAGGAGAGUCUCUUUCCCAGAUCUAAGAGGAAAGUUCCUGCUGUAGAAAGCUCCAAGAAAAGGUUUAAGACACUGUCCCUAAAGGAAAACAAAAUCACUGAUAAUUGGAGGAGAGACUCAAGGUGAUCAGUGGUUCCUCAGACAGCCAAAGAUUUAUGCCAGUGACAGAAUACUAUGAACUGCAGGACAGAGAAGCUGUAAGACUGGAGAAACUACGAAUUUUAAAUGUAAUAUUUAAGGACAAAAUAAUAAUAAUAGAACUCUUUCUCUAAAGACUGUUUGAAAACAAUGAAAGAGGAGGACAAUCUCAUCAUUCCUCUUCUUCCCUCAUCCAUGUCGUUGUUUUUUUACUCAUACUUUAGAUGCCAAAUCAAAUACAAGCCAGUUUAGUACCUGAGUAUAUCUAUAGCAGUGUUUUCAAUGCGGGAUCUGCAUAUCAUCAC